GAUGAACGCUGGCGGCGUGCCUAAUACAUGCCAGUCGAGCGAACGGACGAGAAGCUUGCUUCUCUGAUGUUAGCGGCGGACGGGUGAGUAACACGUGGAUAACCUACCUAUAAGACUGGGAUAACUUCGGGAAACCGUAGCUAAUACCGGAUAAUAUUUUGAACCGCAUGGUUCAAAAGUGAAAGACGGUCUUGCUGUCACUUAUAGAUGGAUCCGCGCUGCAUUAGCUAGUUGGUAAGGUAACGGCUUACCAAGGCAACGAUGCAUAGCCGACCUGAGAGGGUGAUCGGCCACACUGGAAGUGAGACACGGUCCAGACUCCGACGGUAGGCAGCAGUAGGGAAUCUUACGCGAUGGGCGAGAGCCUGACGUAGCAACGCCGCGUGAAUGAUGAAGGUCUUCGGAUCGGAAAGCUCUGUUGUUAGGGGAGAACAAAUGUGUAAUUAACUGUGCUCAUCUUGACGGUACCGAAUCAAAAAGCCACGGCUAACUACGUG
rnacentral:rRNA from 1 species